UCUAAUUGAUGACUCUUGCUCGAUUGUUGCGUGCGAUGUCGAAUUUUGCUUGCCUUAACCUUGUUUGCAGGUUGCUGUGCUUAAGUUGCAGAAGAUCUUGGUUCUCUUUAUGAGAAAUAGCAGACUUCUCACGAAGUAUAAAGAAUGAUUCUGCAAGUGCAGAAUAAAGGAGGACCUUAUGUGGAAAUUCAGUUGCUUGAUGAACCAAUAUGAAAGUCCAAGUGGGAGAAUAUUAGAGACUAACCAUAUGCAAUUAGGUUUCCUCAAUG